rnacentral:lncRNA from 1 species
GGGUGAGGAAAAUAAAGAAAAAAAAAAAGGAUAAGAGAAGCACUAGGAAAGUGAUCCAGACAAUUUGUGACUGUAGAAGCUGUGUGUGGAACGCGGUAGAGCCACAGGAUGGAAAGGUAUCAGCUCCCUAAUCAUGGAGAAGAGCCAUCUGCCAAUCAAGAAAACCGAUUUUGGACUUUAAGUGAGCAAGUAAUAAGCCACUGAUGUUUGAGAAUUUAUUACAGCAGUUAGAGUUACCUUCAUAAAUACAAAUUUGAAUUAAUUUAGAUGUGAUUUGGAAUUAUUAUUUUUUAAGUCUACAUGCUAACAAAUCUAUGGAAAUGUUGGAAUGAAGUUAUUUCUUAAGAAUUUUCACAAAGUAACUCGAGUUACUAAUAAUUCCAUUUUCUGAUAACCUGCUAAACAGCUUUGAUAUAGGGAAUUUGAAAAAUUUAAGAAUAAAAAUAACGAAUAAAUAAAACAAAG